UGGCGUAUCAGCAGCCACAAAGUUAAUCCCAUCGUUUCCUCCCCAAACCCGUCUCUUCUCAGACCCAAAGUCACUCACUUCUGUUCCUUCUCCUCUCACCGCUCGACUUCAUAACCAAACCAUUCCUUUUCGCUCUUUAACCAAAAUCCAAUCUUUGAACACAAACCAAGCCUAUUUCGUGGGUUUUCCGGGAAAGCAAUUGGAUUUUUGUUUGAAAGGAAGUUUAGGGUCGUGUGAGUGCAAAAGAGGAUGAAGCUGAGGAGGAAAGUAGAGGGGAGAGUACCAUGCCGGAGCGGUUUAGGUACUUGACCGAAGAAGCUCCUGACCCUCCUGUGAAGUUGGCAUGGUUUCUGGUUUCACAAGGAUUCAAGGAGCCCAUUUCUACGGUCUGGCUGGAGAGUAGCACAUGGCAGUGCUACUAUGCUGGUAAAGAUUUCAGAUUUUUCUUCUGUGUAUAGAACACUGUUUUGAAGGAUUCAUAUGAUGUGAUUUGCUUGUGUAGCCAAAUGGACAGUUGUCAGUAUUGUUGAAAAAGACCAAUUCAUAAAGCUCGUUAAAGUUGAAAAUGUUAUAAAAGUUGUACAUGUUGUCCUGAACUUCUGAAGCAUAGAAAUUUCUGCCAUAAAAUGUAGCAUAAAUUUUACACAUCUGGGUGGCUUAAUUUGUAAUUAGUUCCUAGUAAACACAAACAAUACCAUUAACCCUUGCACACAAGCAUCACAUACAAAUGCUGCCAAUAGACAGGAACAUGACCCAAACUACAAAGGAAAGAUUAUACUUUUCUCUUUAAGGAUUAGAAACAAGUUUUCCACUUAAGAGUGUAAUCUAGUGAGUGUAUCUUUGGGUGGAAUCAAUAAUACAUAGUGGUUUAUAUGUGAUUGAGCUUCUUAAGAGUCCAAGAGCACUGUUAAAGUUAAUUGCACUGACUGAGAGAAAUCAUUAAUGGAAAUAGGCAAGUGGCUUUAGUUAUGAAGCCGUAAUCAUUGGAAACUUAUACAGAAGUCCUACCUGCUUUUCUAUGUAGUGUAGAAUAUGAUGCAGGAUAUACUUUAAUAGAAAAGUGAUUAAGUUGGGUCGUUGAAAUCAUUGAUUAAGUACUUAGCUUUUUAGGAUUUCCAUUUACUUCUCAGGAAAGCGUCUUGUGUUAUUGCGAGAUGGGCAAAAGAUGUCGGGGUUACUACGGUAUUUUUAGCAGUUUGUUAGUACUAAUUUGUUGGUCUUCUGUAUUUAACCUUAUGUGUGGUCUGAUCCGAACGUAAAACAAGUGAAUUGGUGUGGUAAACGGUAGCCACAAGCAAACGGGUGGAUGCAAGAGGCAUGGAAAAGAGAGAGAUGGACAACAGACAUGUAUAAAAGAGUUCAUGAGGCGAUCCAAGUAAAAGUGGAAGUUCAUGCAGUUCAGACGAGUCAAGUCCAUCGAAAAAUCCCAAAAAACGCAUGAAGAAAUUAGCAUCGGCAGUUAAUGAGGAAAAGACCGGUGACACUGAAAUUACCAUAAGAGGUGAUUGCCAAGAAGAUGGAAAGAAUGGAAGCUUCAUAACAGUUCUGGUGAAGUUCCGAUUAUCAUUUCAAUGGCCGGCCGGGCAAAAGAGUUCAAACGGACUGUUGGAAAGCUGUCAAAUGAAAAGGUUUUAGCAAUCAGCGAUAUGGGAUUUGGUAAUAUUUUCUUGUUCCGGUGCAGCAAAUUGAACCUCCACCUUUGCCAAAUGUUGGUCGACAAUUUUGAUGUUGGCAUGAAGAUUCAUGGGAGGCACUUGAUGAUCAGCAUGAAGAUUUUAAGCGGGUAAUGAAUGUAAGGGAUGAGACUUGUGAAGUAGAACUAGCUGGUUGCUUGGAUGAUGCAGAUAUCGUGCAACUGAAGAGCAUGAUAUGUGGAAGUGAUAGUGAAAUCAGUAUUGACCGCUUGUGGAAGUGAUACCACUUUAUUAACCUACUAUUAUUUCUAUCAACAUCUACACUCCAUAUAUUCAACCAAAGUUGAAAACAUUCCAAUCCAUAUAUCAUGAACAACCAGAAUCAAAGUUGUAAAGAAAGAUGAUAAAUCAUAUUUAUUCCAGAAUGAUUGGCAACAUAGGCCAUGACUUCAGCUAUUGUAAUCCUUCAUGUUGGGUUACUCAAAUAAUUUCCUUUUAAGAU